UGAGGAAUAUUGCGCAAUGGGCGAAAGCCUGACGCAGCGACGCCGCGUGGAGGAUGAAGGUUUUCGGAUUGUAAACUCCUGUUAAGUGGGAAGAAACGACAAAAUAUAAUACAUUUUGUAACUGACGGUACCAUUAAAGAAAGCACCGGCUAACUUCGUGCCAGCAGCCGCGGUAAUACGAGGGGUGCAAGCGUUAUUCGGAAUUAUUGGGCGUAAAGGGUGCGUAGGCGGCGUAUUAAGUCAACUGUUAAAACCUCCAGCCUAACUGGAGAUCAGCAGUAGAUACUGGUAUGCUAGAGGAUGGAAGAGAGAAGUGGAAUUCUUGGAGUAGCGGUGGAAUGCGUAGAUCUCAAGAGGAACACCAAUGGCGAAGGCAGCUUCUUGGUCCAUAUCUGACGCUGAUGCACGAAAGCGUGGGGAGCAAAACAGGAUUAGAUACCCUGGUAGUCCACGCCGUAAACGAUGAUCACUAGAUGUUAAUUCUGCUUGCAGAAUUAGUGUCGUAGCUAACGCGAUAAGUGAUCCGCCU
rnacentral:rRNA from 1 species